rnacentral:sRNA from 2 species
CAUUUGCCCGUUCUUUGGGGAGUAGUCGGCUUCCGGUCCCACCGGAAGGAUCUGCGUCAACAUAAUCGGCCCGCAGGCCGUGGCGCAGAUGGCCGCAAGGCUUGGCGAGACCAUUGAUCCACGGGCGGCCGGAUUGGGCCGGGGUCGCCCAUGGGUCAUUGGUAGACGUCCGGCC